rnacentral:rRNA from 1 species
CUCAGAUUGAACGCUGGCGGCAUGCCUUACACAUGCAAGUCGAACGGUAACGCGGGGCAACCUGGCGACGAGUGGCGAACGGGUGAGUAAUGCAUCGGAACGUGCCCAGUAGUGGGGGAUAGCCCGGCGAAAGCCGGAUUAAUACCGCAUACGACCUACGGGUGAAAGCGGGGGACCGUAAGGCCUCGCGCUAUUGGAGCGGCCGAUGUCAGAUUAGCUAGUUGGUAGGGUAAAGGCCUACCAAGGCGACGAUCUGUAGCUGGUCUGAGAGGACGACCAGCCACACUGGGACUGAGACACGGCCCAGACUCCUACGGGAGGCAGCAGUGGGGAAUUUUGGACAAUGGGGGCAACCCUGAUCCAGCCAUGCCGCGUGCGGGAAGAAGGCCUUCGGGUUGUAAACCGCUUUUGUCGGGGAAGAAACGGUCUGCGCUAAUACCGCGGGCUAAUGACGGUACCCGAAGAAUAAGCACCGGCUAACUACGUG